AUUGAACGCUGGCGGCAUGCUUUACACAUGCAAGUCGAACGGCAGCGCGGGCUUCGGCCUGGCGGCGAGUGGCGAACGGGUGAGUAAUACAUCGGAACGUGCCCAGUAGUGGGGGAUAGCUCGGCGAAAGCCGGCUUAAUACCGCAUACGACCUGAGGGUGAAAGCGGGGGAUCUUCGGACCUCGCGCUAUUGGAGCGGCCGAUGGCAGAUUAGCUAGUUGGUGGGGUAAAGGCCUACCAAGGCGACGAUCUGUAGCUGGUCUGAGAGGACGACCAGCCACACUGGGACUGAGACACGGCCCAGACUCCUACGGGAGGCAGCAGUGGGGAAUUUUGGACAAAGGGCGAAAGCCUGAUCCAGCAAUGCCGCGUGUGUGAUGAAGGCCUUCGGGUUGUAAAGCACUUUUGGCGGGAACGAAAAGGACUGUGCCAAUACCACGGUUCGAUGACGGUACCCGCAGAAUAAGCACCGGCUAACUACGUG
rnacentral:rRNA from 1 species